rnacentral:lncRNA from 10 species
ACAUGUUAAAGUUGCCUUGAGGAUUAAAUGGCAGAAUAUAUGUAAAACACCUAGCAAGUGCUUAGUCCAUAGAAGACGCUUGGCAAACUUUUCUCUCCUAUAAUAAACAUAUACAACUCAAGCUUAUUUCGGAAAAAGAUAUUGGUGAUGUUGUUUAAAGUAUGAGAUAGGGCAUGGAGCUGCCACCUAUGUACCAGCUAUUCCAGAUGACCAAGCCCUGCUAGAAUAAAGACUGACUUUUCAUUGUGACCUCUGAAGGAUGUGCAGCUCAGCUUUCACCUAUCCCCACGUUCACCCAAGCCAAAAAGAAGAAUUGUUCAUUCAAACUGGAAAUGAUCUCCAGCUUGGAAAUGAGACUCCUCAUGAGCUUAUUCUAAGAUCAGAGUCUGAAAAUUAUUUUCUCAAAAGUUACAAAUAAAUGUCUUUUAACAGUACUGUCAGACUAGUGACCAACAAGUUACUUUAUGAGGAUGGAUGAUGAUAUUAGAGUUCAAGCAAUUGUCCAGUUUGUUUCGAUGCCACAGUUUGCUUUUAAAUUCCCAUAGUGAGCUUCCAUCUUGAGACCCACUCAACACAGAAGGAUUACAUAAAGGUUGAUCACCCACGCUCUACAGAUGAACAAAUUGAGACCCAGAGAUGCUAAACUGCUCUGCAGGUCACAAACCUGAACAGCAGCAUAGCCAAAAUGGGAACGGAGCUCUUCUGACUUCAAGCCCCUGCACUUUUUUCUUAACCACAUUAAUUUUAUGAAUAUCUAUGUGGUCAAAGUCUCUUUUGUAAAAUCUGAGUAUAAGCUGAACUAGAUCAUGUCUCUGUAAGCUAAGAUGGCAGAAACACAUUGUCAUGUUAGUUUGGAGGAGCAAACAGAUAUAAGUAUGUGUUGUAAUGUUAUAGUGAGCUGUUAUGUAUCCCCCAGCAAUGUCCAAAGUGAUCAGAGCUACUAGAUGACUUAUUACAAUGUUCAGAUCCCACUCCUUCAUUCCUCCUCUCUCAGUGACCUGUCUACCCCCAAGCUUUAGAACUGAGCUCUCUCCAACUUAGAACUCAUUAGAGUUUGUUGCAUUAGUGAUUGGAUCUCCUCAUGAAAGUUUUUUGACCAAUGACAGUAGAGCCCCUUUAAGCUAGCCAGGCCCAAGAUAGGGAAGCACUGCUGGUUUACAUUUCUGCUCUUUCUAAUUCAGUUGUCUAUUGCAUGCAGACAUCCCCUGCCCGACUUCUCCAUUAUGGAAGGCUAAGGCCAUCCUUCCUUGUCCAGUUUCUCUACCUACACACUAACAUGCCUUUUCCCCAUGGAGUGAACUCUGCCAGUUGUCUUUGGACAUUUUCUGCAGAUGCAGGCUCAGUUCUGCUCUUUUGUUCCCACCCACUUCUAGAUCUUCCUCCAUUUAAUCCCUUAUUCUUAUAAGGAGUCUAAUUUUUGUGUAUUGUCCUUGAUUAGGGCAGCUGACAGCUUUACACCAAAGCUGAAGUCUCUCACUUAAUCCUAAGCAAGGGGCUAGGGAGAACUAAGAUAUCCUUCCCAUAUCAAGGGAUAUAGGUUACUAGAAGGGUGGAGGUCUCUUAACAGGCUCACUCACCUUUCAGAGUUUAAAUUAUGGUCAGGCUUAAGAAGCUCUCUCUUGUGACUGAGUGUAUUGCAUAGACAUGUCUGUGAAAAUAAAAGCACCCAUUUUGCUAAGGCUUUCUGAGAA